rnacentral:rRNA from 1 species
UACGUAGGGGGCGAGCGUUGUCCGGAUUCAUUGGGCGUAAAGAGCUCGUAGGCGGUCUGUCGCGUCGGCUGUGAAAACUCGGGGCUCAACUCCGAGCUUGCAGUCGAUACGGGCAGGCUAGAGUUCGGCAGGGGAGACUGGAAUUCCUGGUGUAGCGGUGAAAUGCGCAGAUAUCAGGAGGAACACCGGUGGCGAAGGCGGGUCUCUGGGCCGAUACUGACGCUGAGGAGCGAAAGCGUGGGGAGCGAACAGG